UCCGAGCAAGCAAAUAAAAAACCAACCAAAACAAAAAUCACCUGUUUUUCUGCAAAAUUUCACUUUUGCUUGCAAAAUUUUUAAAGAGAGUAAAAUGGCUCUUACUCUAAAUUUUUACUGUAAAAGUACGCGAACAGACCUAAUGUGGACGGACCUAACCUACCUUUUCUUAAAAUUUUAGUGUUUGAACAAUUUUUUUUUUAAUUUUUCGUUGUCAGUAUUUAAUGUGGUAAAGCCUAGUACUAACUUCAUUAACACGAAAAUUGGUUAUUAAUUGUUGGCGAAAUAUGUCGAAUUCUAUUGGACGAAGUAUUACAGCCUUCCCAUACAAGUGUGGGCAGAUGCGUCGUCUCACGGCAUGGCGCCUUAUUUAGCAUAUCUUCCCGGAAAACAGCAUAAAGUACGAAGAUUCCACGAAAUGCUUUUUGGCCGGUGAUUUACUCUUCAUACUGACCACAAACCUUUGCUCGCAAUAUUCGGUGGAAAGAAAGGCAUUCCGUUAUACACAGCAAACAGGCUGCAGGGAUGGGCAGUGAUACUGCUUACAUAUGACUUCGAUAUAAAAUACAUCAAUACUACAGAUUUUGGACACGCCGACGUUUUGUCAAGGAUGAUUACCAAUCACGAGAAACCGGCAGAUUAUACCGUAACCUCAAUAGCACUCGAAGAGGACAUAUGAUCAAUGAAGCAAUAUCAACACUUUCCAUUGCCUUCAAGACCAUCGUAAAUGCAACCAGAAAUGGCAGAAGUCUUCGGACAGUUAUGUCUUAUGUGGAGAAUGGCUGACCCGAAGACAACAAAAACAUCGAUUCCGACGUUAUACCAUAAUAUAAUCGAAAGGAUACGAUAUCGAAACAGUUCGAUUGUCUCUUGCUCAACUCGAGAAUUAUAAUUCCACAACCACAUCGGAAACGAGUUUUGAAGCAGUUGCAUCGAGGACACCAGCGGCUGAGAGAAGCAAAGCCAUCGCGAGAAUUUAUGUCUAUUGGUAAAAAAAACAGCGACAUCGAAGCCUACAAUAGGGAAUCCAGUAACUGCCAACUCGUAGCCAAGAGCCCAGUGAAAACAAACAUGUGUGCAUGGCCUUCAACAUCUCGAGCUUUAGAACGGAUCCACGUAGAAUAUGUAGGACAAUGGUUUGCAUUGCGACAUUAAAAAUGUGGAAUUCGUUUUGCGCUCAGUUUGGCAACCUGGAGCAGCUCAAUUUAGACAGUGGGACACAGUUUUGAUCCACUUAAUUCGAGGACUGGUGUAAACACAGAGGUAUUUAACACACGAGAACAGUACGUUUUCAUCCAAGUUCCAACGGAAAGCCGGAAAGAUUUGUUGACACUCUGAUAAGAGCGUCAACAGUAAAGCAUGCCACUAGACAUACUUCUAGAGGAAUUUCAGAUUUUAUUGCCAAACUCAAACGAAGCAUUUGCAACUACACCAACAUCUUCCAUUCGUCAACCCAAGAGAAUCACAUCCCGAAGAAGAGAGGGUGAAGAAUAAGCAAAAAAUAGUACUCUUAUUAUAGUGAGGAAAGUGGCAUAAAAAAUUAUAUUACCAACCAUUGAAACCAUUAUGGCUACCAUUGCCAACAUAAUUUUUGUU